rnacentral:rRNA from 1 species
GACGAACGCUGGCGGCGUGCUUAACACAUGCAAGUCGAACGAAAAGAGGGAAAGAGCUUGCUCUUUCCGGAAUUGAGUGGCAAACGGGUGAGUAACACGUAAACAACCUGCCUUCAGGAUGGGGACAACAGACGGAAACGACUGCUAAUACCGAAUAAGUUCCAAGGGCCGCAUGGCCCAUGGAAGAAAAGGUGGCCUCUACCUGUAAGCUAUCGCCUGAAGAGGGGUUUGCGUCUGAUUAGCUGGUUGGAGGGGUAACGGCCCACCAAGGCGACGAUCAGGAGCCGGUCUGAGAGGAUGAACGGCCAAACUGGAACUGAGACCCGGUCCAGACGCCUACGGGAGGGAGCCGUGGGGAAUCUUCCGCAAGAGGCGAAAGCCUGACGGAGCAACGCCGCGUGAGGGAUGAAGGCCGUCGGGUUGGAAAAAUCGGUGAUCCGGGAAGAAAAGGCAGAGUGCGAAGAACAAACUGCAUUGACGGUACCGGAAAAGCAAGCCACGGCUAACUACGUG